rnacentral:rRNA from 1 species
AGGAUUAACGCUGGCGGCGUGCCUAACACAUGCAAGUCGAACGAGGGGGGCAACCCCCGAGUGGCAGACGGGUGAGUAACGCGUGGUCAACCUACCCUAGAGUGGGGAAUAACUAGCCGAAAGGUUAGCUAAUACCGCAUGAUACGUUUUGGGACAUCCCAGGACGUUGAAAGGAGCAAUCCGCUCGAGGACGGGACCGCGUCCGAUUAGCUAGUUGGUGAGGUAACGGCCCACCAAGGCUCCGAUCGGUAGCUGGUUUGAGAGAGCGACCAGCCACACUGGGACUGAGAAACGGCCCAGACUCCUACGGGAGGCAGCAGUGAGGAAUUUCCGCAAUGGGCGAAAGCCUGACGGAGCGACGCCGCGUGUGGGAAGAAGGCCUUCGGGUCGUAAACCACUGUCGAAGGGGACUAUACUGAAGGUACCCUUGGAGGAAGCCCGGCUAACUACGUGCCAGCAGCCGC